rnacentral:rRNA from 1 species
GAUGAACGCUAGCGGCAGGCUUAAUACAUGCAAGUCGUGGGGCAGCAUGAAUGUAGCAAUACAUUUGAUGGCGACCGGCAAACGGGUGCGGAACACGUACAGAACCUUCCUUCGAGCGGGGAAUAGCCCAGAGAAAUUUGGAUUAAUACCCCAUAGUAUGGUGAAGAGGCAUCUCUUUACUCUUAAAGAUUUAUCACUUGAAGAUGGCUGUGCGGCUGAUUAGGUAGUUGGCGGGGUAACGGCCCACCAAGCCUACGAUCAGUAACUGGUGUGAGAGCACGACCAGUCACACGGGCACUGAGACACGGGCCCGACUCCUACGGGAGGCAGCAGUAAGGAAUAUUGGUCAAUGGACGAAAGUCUGAACCAGCCAUGCCGCGUGGAGGAUGAAGGUCCUCUGGAUUGUAAACUUCUUUUAUAUGGGACGAAAAAGGGCCUUUCUAGGUCAACUGACGGUACCAUGUGAAUAAGCACCGGCUAACUCCGUGCCAGCCGCCGCAGUAAGAC